CCCCGCUCCUGGGUCGCCCCGCCUCCGGCCGCCGUUGCCUGUGCCCGCGGAGAACCGUCCGGACCGAGCCUCUCCUCCACGUCCCCGGCUCAUCCUGGGCCGCCCUCUGGCCCAGUUGCGUCACCGCGUCCCGCCCCCGGAGCUGGAGUCGAAGUUCUCGAGCCCAAAGACUUUCCGGGCUUGACGGCGCCGGGAGAGAGCACGGGCGUCAGGUUUUCCCCCUUUGCUUGUGAGCCAUGGCAGCUUCUAUGAAGGGCAAGGUGUGCGUGGUGACUGGUGCUUCCAGGGGUAUUGGCCGCGGCAUCGCCUUGCAGCUCUGCCAAGCCGGCGCCACAGUUUACAUCACAGGCCGCCAUAUGGACACACUGCAGGCCACUGCUGAGGAGGCACAAUCUCGAGGGGGCCAGUGUGUGCCCGUGGUGUGCGAUUCAAGCCAGGAGAGUGAAGUCCAAAGGCUGUUUGAGCAAGUGGAUCAGGAACAGCAGGGGCGUCUGGAUGUGCUAGUCAACAAUGCCUAUGCCGGAGUCCCGGCAAUUAUGAAGAACAUUAACAAGGCAUUCUGGGAAAGCCCAGCCUCCAUCUGGGAUGAUAUCAAUAAUGUUGGAUUGAGAGGCCACUACCUGUGCUCGGUGUAUGGAGCACGGCUCAUGGUACCAGCUGGCCAGGGGCUCAUCGUGGUCAUCUCCUCCAUUGGAGGGCUGCAGUAUUUCUUCAAUGUCUCCUAUGGUGUGGGCAAAGCUGCGUGCGACAGGCUGGCUGCUGACUGUGCCCAGGAGCUGCGGCGCCAUGGGGUCAGCUACGUGUCUCUGUGGCCAGGGAUGGUGCAAACAGAACUAGUGAAGGAGGUCGUGGUGAAAAACGAAAAUACUGACGAUCCCCUGUUGAAACAGCUCAGAUCUAAUUUCUCCUCUGCAGAGACCACAGAAAUGAGUGGCAAAUGUGUGGUGGCUUUGGCAACAGACCCCAAUAUCCUGAGCCUGAGUGGGAAGGUGCUGCCAUCUUGUGACCUUGCUCGCCGCUACAGCCUUCAGGAUGUGGAUGGCCGCCCCAUCCAAGACUAUUUGUCUUUGAGCUCGGUUCUCUCCCAUGCCUCUAGCCUGGGCUGGCUGGCCUCCUACUUGCCUGGCUUCCUUCGUAUGCCCAAGUGGAUUAUGACCCUCUACGCUAGCAAAUUCUAACCGUCCUGGCCUGAUGUCACAACUCUGUUCUCUCUCAGGCUACAUGGUAUGGCAGGUCUCAGUGAAACAAGGCAGGCUCUUCUGCCUACCACAUACCCUUGAUAGGAAGAGAAAGCUUCCACUGUGUUUCCUGGUGAGUUUUGACUGUUGAUUCUGUGCUCAGCAAAGUGUUAAGUACUUGAGAGAAAGACUACAAGAUAUGCAAAAUGUUCGGGUCCUCAAGGAGUACCAUUCCCAGGACAAAGCCCCUUUCCUCCAGGUGUGCUCAUGCUCUUCCCUGUAGAGCUGCCUAUCUCAGGGCACCUGCCCUUUGACUGCGAGGACUGUUUCCACACCCUCAGCUGGGGAACAAGGUCCCUCCACAACCAGAACCAGGCAUACUCCUGUCUCAGGACUUUCCCACCCCCUCAUUCCACCAUCUCUUUGGGCGAUGGCUGCUGCCUUCUAGCUGGGCCUGAUUUCAGGGCAGCUAGGGCAGAUUCUUUAGCAUUUAUGAUUUCCUGGCAUUUGGGAGGAAAGUAGUGUCCAAAUCCAAGUGAAAGGCAGAGGAAUAGCUGAUGGUGCUGACAUACUUUCAUCCUUCCUCUUGGGAUGGUAUCACCUGAAUUGCUUCCUGAGGAACUGACUGCAAGAGCCCUUUAGGCCCUGCUCCAGGGGCUGUCCCAGCCUGAGACAAGGCAGUAGGGUGUGUGUGGCAAGGAGGAGCCAAGAGCCACUCUGAGGGAGCCUUUGCAGCAACAGCCUAGAUGGCCAUCGGUGGAAUGGGAUGGCUGCUGUCAGUCAGAGGUGCAAAAAUCAUUUCUAAUCUUUGGAAAAUGCAAAGUGAGAGCUGAGGCUUCCCAAAGCUGCCAUAGCAUGUGCAGAGCUAUGACCUUCCUGUGGCUUUUGGGAACGGCUCUGCUUACUGUCCCAGUGAUGUGCUAGGGCAGUUCAGCGGCUUGUGAGUGCUGGCUGUGCUUCUCUUCCAACUCUGCAAUCAGUGGUAACUUCACGUUUGUUGCUUGAAUUUAGCCACAGUGAGAGUAUAGAAGCCACAGAAACCAACAAAGGCUGCUAAUCAGGGUUUUUAUUUUUUUAAAGAGCUGGCUUAGCACAUGACUAGAACUAUGUACCUAAAUGCCACCAUUUGCCCAAGCACUCUAUUUAGAUCACAGUGGUCAGAUAUUCUUAGCACCCUCUCACCCCCUUCCACUCACCACCCAAAGUUCCUAUUAUCUCCUAAGGCUGGUGAUGGAUAGAGGCAUUGCCUAAAUGCAAUAUGAAUAAGGGCUUCUAGACCUCUUGCAGCCUUCCACAGCUACCAUUAGAACAAAUCCUUGCUUGAUGGUGUUGUUUUCUAAAGACCGCAAGGGAUUAUGGAAAGAAUAUGGGCCUCAGAGUCAUGUAAAUCUACAUACAAAUUUUGACCCCACCACUUUGGGAAUAAAAUGAAAUAACAUGUAUAAAACACAA